ensembl:snRNA U6 U6 spliceosomal RNA
GUACUUGUUUUGACAGUACAUGUGCUAAAAUUAGAAUGAUACAGGGAAGAUUAGCAUGGCCCCUGGGCUAGGAAGACAGACAAAUUUUUGAAUAAUAGUUUAGCUUU